rnacentral:rRNA from 1 species
AACGAACGCUGGCGGCAGGCUUAACACAUGCAAGUCGAACGGGUGUAGCAAUACAUCAGUGGCAGACGGGUGAGUAACACGUGGGAACCUUCCUAGGGGUACGGAACAACUCAGGGAAACUUGAGCUAAUACCGUAUACGUCCGUGAGGAGAAAGAUUUAUCGUCCUUAGACGGGCCCGCGUCGGAUUAGGUAGUUGGUGGGGUAACGGCCUACCAAGCCUACGAUCCGUAGCUGAUCUUAGAGGAUGAUCAGUAACACUGGGACGGAGACACGGCCCAGACUCCUACGGGAGGCAGCAAUGGGGAAUCUUGGACAAUGGGCGCAAGCAUGGUCCAGCCAUGCCGCGUGAGUGAAGAAGGCCUUAGGGUUGUAAAGAUCUUUUACCAGGGACGUUAAUGACGGUACCUGGAGAAUAAGCCCCGGCUAACUUCGUGCCAGCCGCCGCCGUAACAC